UGGGGAAUCUUGCACAAUGGGGGAAACCCUGAUGCAGCGACGCCGCGUGAGCGAUGAAGGUUUUCGAAUCGUAAAGCUCUGUCCUAUGGGAAGAUAAUGACGGUACCAUAGGAGGAAGCCCCGGCUAAUUACGUGCCAGCAGCCGCGGUAAUACGUAGGGGGCGAGCGUUGUCCGGAAUUACUGGGCGUAAAGGGUUCGCAGGCGGCAUGACAAGUCCGAUGUAAAAGGCGAAAGCUCAACUUUCGUAAGCAUCGGAAACUGUCGAGCUUGAGUGAAGGAGAGGCAAGUGGAAUUCCUAGUGUAGCGGUGGAAUGCGUAGAUAUUAGGAGGAAUACCGGUGGCGAAGGCGACUUGCUGGACUUCAACUGACGCUGAGGAACGAAAGCGUGGGUAGCAAACAGG
rnacentral:rRNA from 1 species